rnacentral:rRNA from 1 species
UACGUAGGGGGCUAGCGUUGUCCGGAUUUAUUGGGCGUAAAGAGCGUGUAGGCGGCCAGGUAGGUCUGCUGUGAAAGCUCGAGGCUCAACCUCGAGACGUCGGCGGAAACCAUCUGGCUAGAGUCCGGAAGAGGAGAGUGGAAUUCCUGGUGUAGCGGUGAAAUACGCAGAUAUCAGGAAGAACACCCGUGGCGAAGGCGGCUCUCUGGGACGGUACUGACGCUGAGACGCGAAAGCGUGGGGAGCGAACAGG